rnacentral:rRNA from 1 species
GACAGAGGGUGCAAACGUUGCUCGGAAUCACUGGGCGUAAAGGGCGUGUAGGCGGGUAGAUAAGUCGGGCGUGAAAUCCCCAGGCUCAACCUGGGAACUGCACUCGAAACUGUUUAUCUUGAGUGCCGGAGAGGAAAGCGGAAUUCCUGGUGUAGAGGUGAAAUUCGUAGAUAUCAGGAGGAACACCAGUGGCGAAGGCGGCUUUCUGGACGGUAACUGACGCUGAGACGCGAAAGCGUGGGGAGCAAACAGG